AUGACCAAUAAUAUUAAUGAAUAUGACACAAAAAAUGAAAGUGUUUGGGUUCGAACCUCGAUCAUGACGUCUCAUCUAACAAUUUUGAUAUUUUUACAAGUUGAACUAUGAUUUAUGGAUAUUUCUUAAACAACCAAUUAAGUAGAAGUUGUUAAAGAAUUUCAUUUAAAGACGAAUCAUUUAAAAAAUUUGAGUUUAAAUUCUUUGUUUGAACAAUUUAUAGACAUACUUUAUUUAUUAUAUGAUCGAACUUUAAAUUAACGAGGUCUUUUUCUCCUGAAAAGCAUAAGGUUAAGACAAAAAAUAUUCUACUUCUUUCACAUAAAUAAUGUAUAUAAUGCAAUCCUUUUCAUUAACAUUAUCUUUGCAACUAAAAUGAUAUCUUCUUUGUCCCUUUUCUAUAUAUGAUUAAACAACCAGCGUAUAAAAUAUAAAACUGGGGGCAGUUGUUUAUUUAUUAUAAGUGUAAUAAUAACUGCUAGUAGUACUAAUCUAACAAAAAAUUAUUAGGGUGUUGAUCAUGUGAGAGUUUAAUUUAAUAUAUGGUUAAUGGACAUAUUUAAUGUUUAAACAUAAUAGUUUAGUGGCAAGUUGCUAAAAAUGGUGUAAGGUUGACCAUUGAUCUGAUAGAUGAAAAGAUUUAAGAUUUAGUUUCAAUGCAUGCAUGUGGCCUCUAAUCUUUUGUGAUUAAAAGAUAAUAACUGAGGAGGCCAUGUGUUUGAGUUCAUUAGUGGUAUUUAGAAAAUGGAUUCUACUGUGAGCUUGUCUCCUGCAGCUCAAUGUGGACAAUAUGUCCUUUACUCUUAAGCUAUUUGGAGUAUAAUUAAGUCUUUUUUGAAAGAAAAAAAUGUUUUUAAUAGAUAGGUCUUUUUGUUCUAAGUUAUAAGAUUAAUUAAUUU
rnacentral:lncRNA from 1 species